GAUGAACGCUGACAGAAUGCUUAACACAUGCAAGUCAACUUGAACUUCGGUUUGGGUGGCGGACGGGUGAGUAACGCGUAAAGAACUUGCCUCACAGUUAGGGACAACAUUUGGAAACGAAUGCUAAUACCUGAUAUUAUGAUUUUAGGGCAUCCUAGAAUUAUGAAAGCUAUAUGCGCUGUGAGAGAGCUUUGCGUCCCAUUAGCUAGUUGGAGAGGUAACGGCUCACCAAGGCGAUGAUGGGUAGCCGGCCUGAGAGGGUGAACGGCCACAAGGGGACUGAGACACGGCCCUUACUCCUACGGGAGGCAGCAGUGGGGAAUAUUGGACAAGGGACCAAGAGUCUGAUCCAGCAAUUCUGUGUGCACGAUGAAGUUUUUCGGAAUGUAAAGUGCUUUCAGUUGGGAAGAAAAAAAUGACGGUACCAACAGAAGGAGUGACGGCUAAAUACGUG
rnacentral:rRNA from 1 species